rnacentral:rRNA from 1 species
UACGUAGGUGGCAAGCGUUGUCCGGAAUUAUUGGGCGUAAAGCGCGCGCAGGCGGUUUCUUAAGUCUGAUGUGAAAGCCCACGGCUUAACCGUGGAAGGUCAUUGGAAACUGGGAGACUUGAGUGCAGAAGAGAAGAGCGGAAUUCACGGUGUAGCAGUGAAGUGCGUAGAUAUCGUGAGGAACACCAGAGGCGAAGGCGGUUCUCUGGGCCUGUACUGACGCUGAGGAGCGAAAGCGUGGGGAGCGAACAGG